rnacentral:misc_RNA from 1 species
CCGAGUUUACAACUCCCAAACCCCUGUGAACAUACCUACUGUUGCCUCGGCGGAUCAGCCCGCUCCCGGUAAAACGGGACGGCCCGCCCGAGGACCCCUAAACUCUGUUUCUAUAUGUAACUUCUGAGUAAAACCAUAAAUAAAUCA